rnacentral:rRNA from 1 species
GACAGAGGUCCCGAGCGUUAGGCGGAAUCACUGGGCUUAAAGCGUGUGUAGGCGGAUCGUUAAGUGCCUUGUGAAAUCCCACGGCUCACCCGUGGAACUGCUGGGCAUACUGGCGAUCUUGGGCCAACUAGGGGCAGCCGGAACAAGCGGUGGAGCGGUGAAAUGCGUAGAUAUCGCUUGGAACGCCAAAGGUGAAAACAGGCUGCUGGGGUUGUGCCGACGCUGAGACACGAAAGCCAGGGGAGCAAACGGG